rnacentral:rRNA from 1 species
UUGGAGGGCAAGUCUGGUGCCCGCAGCCGCGGUAAUUCCAGCUCCAAUAGCGUAUAUUAAAGUUGUUGCAGUUAAAAAGCUCGUAGUUGAAUUUCGGGGUUAGUAGGUUGGUCAUGCCCCUGGCAUGUACUGGUCUCACUGAUUCCUCCUUCCUGAUGAGCCGUAAUGCCAUUAAUUUGGUGUUGCGGGGAAUUUGGACUGUUACUUUGAAAAAAUUAGAGUGUUUGAAGCAAGCUAACGCUUGAAUACAUUAGCAUGGAAUAAUGAAAUAGGACGUUCGAUCCUAUUUUGUUGGUUUCUAGGAUUGACGUAAUGAUUAAUAGGGAUAGUUGGGGGCAUUAGCAUUCAAUUGUCAGAGGUGAAAUUCUUGGAUUUAUUGAAGACUAACUACUGCGAAAGCAUUUGCCAAGGAUGUUUUCAUUAAUCAAGAACGAAAGUUAGGGGAUCGAAGACGAUCAGAUACCGUCGUAGUCUUAAGCAUAAACUAUGCCGACUAGGGAUCGGAUGAUGUUAAUUUUUUAAUGACUCAUUCGGCGCCUUACGGGAAACCAAAGUGUUUGGGUUC